CUCCCUUAAAAAGGGGAGUUUGUCACAAAUAUCAGAUACGCCCCCUAUCUGGGGACCAUAUAGUAAAUGGAUUUUUGGAACAGGGAGAUAGAAGAAGAGCUUUCUCUGUCCACUCCACGCAUUGACCUGGUAUUGCAGUAGCUUCAGGACCGGUGCACCUCUC